rnacentral:lncRNA from 1 species
AUGCAACAGUGGGACCAAAAGGUAGCAAAGGGUUGCCAGGACUUCCAGGAGCCAAAGGGGACCGUGGAUUCUCUGGUAGGCCAGGCCCACCUGGCUUGCCAGGAUCUCCAGGGAUCACUACUGUUGGACCUCCUGGCCCACCUGGCUUACCUGGUGAGAGAGGACAGAAGGGAGAUCCAGGUUUACCUGGGGUUUCUAUUCCUGGGCAACCAGGAGUUGAGGGACCACGAGGACCGCCAGGACCACCAGGUCCCCCAGGGCCACCUGCACCAUCUGUUGCUCCUGGUGAAGGGUUAUGUGAGCAAGGGCCACCAGGUCCUCCAGGAAUUCCAGGACAACAAGGUUUUACAGGGGAGCGAGGCCAAAAAGGUGCAGUGUCAUGGCUACAUUUUCUAUUUUUCUCCUUUUUUUGAAGCUUGGUAA